UAUAGUCCGGAGUUACCUAGGCGUAAUUCCUGAGCGCACCCCAGCGUUGGCCAGCGUUGGCCAGUAUGCGGAACGUGUGUAGGACACACGAGGCUGGCGAUACCUAACGCUGCGCAGAAUCGUAUCGGCUAUGGUGUAACAUGAGUUAGACGAGCCGUAUUUAAUUGUGCACCAGUGUGAAAAGGGACCUUGGAAAGAAUGCCGUCGAUAUCACGCACGGUCUCGCCCUCGAUAAUCGUUCUCUUAAUAUUUCAGUGUUAUUCGGGAGUUCGUGGUUCUUCGAUAAAGUCUUUGGAUGUGCCGAUGGCUGUGCGCAAUGGUACCGGACCGGUGGAUUUGAUCUGUGCCUACCAGAUCAACGAAAACGAAAACGGACUUGUAAUCAAAUGGUUUCACGAAGCGUAUCAAAUCUAUCAGUGGAUACCGCCAAUACCGCCACAAGAUAUUGGAAUCAUCGAAGGACUCGCGGAGUAUCCAGCUGAAAACCUAAAAGAUCCAUAUUCACGUUCGGUAAUACGAUUGAAGACCGUUACGAUAAACAUGACAGGAGAAUAUACGUGUACGAUUAGUACAUUCCAGGAUGAAGCGAGCAAUUCGACGAAGAUGAUUGUUUAUGUGCCGGAAAGCAACAUGACGGUGCUCACUUAUCCUUUUAAUAAGACUCACGUGAAUUUAACGUGUGUGGUGAUGGGUGCGUUACCACGACCGUCUCUGAAGCUUUACGUCGAAGGGGUCGAAAGCAGCAGUUGUGAAAGCGAUCGGGGACCCUUAACGGACUGGUACAAGGAUAAUCCUCGAACAUCAUUGGACAUCAUCAUCGAGAAUACGUUGGAUCCCGCUGUCAUCGAGUGCGAAAUGUCGAUCCCCGAAACGGAGUAUAAGCGUCGAGAACGGAUCGUCUACUAUCCUACGCAAUUACUACCCUAUCGCACAAAUGUUUCACAAGGGAGGCACUACGCGAUGUUGCUUGUCGAUAUCCUUUGUAUUGCCAUUCUUAGAUUAAUAUGGUAGGAUUAAAAUAGACUGAUUUAAUCGCAAAUUGUACUCCAGGGAAAUAAACAGAUAUUUAAUGUAAUUUAAUUUUGGACCUCGAGCCAUAAACUAUAGUUUUGAAAAAAAAAAGAAAUAAAAGCACUUUAUAUCUUAAAUUGAUCAUCUAUUUAACCUACUUUUUUAUUUUCCCAAAAACAGAUAAAUAUGUGUCACUCGAAUUUAAAUUCGUUGAUUUUCCGAUGAUUUAAUAUUUGUGAUUUGACCUUUUGCGUGUAGCAGUCAUAGCUAUAUCGAAAUGACAAGGUGGGUGCGUGCAUUGGGGGUGGGAGAGGUAAUCUUGGAUAGUGGGGAUGAUAUCUAGAAGUAGCGGCACCCCUUAAGAUUAUCAUUCGCUUUCCGGCACUCACCUAUAAAGGUGUUCGUAUCGGCAACUGAAGUCAUCAGACUUAUCAUCGUGUCGAAUUUAUCAUCUCGCUCUUAAUCGCCAAUACUUCA